GAUGAACGCUGGCGGCGUGCCUAAUACAUGCAAGUCGAGCGAACAGAUAAGGAGCUUGCUCCUUUGACGUUAGCGGCGGACGGGUGAGAAACACGUGGGUAACCUAUCUAUAAGACUGGAAUAACUCCGGGAAACCGGGGCUAAUGCCGGAUAACAUGUUGAACCGCAUGGUUCUACAGUGAAAGGCGGCUUUGCUGUCACUUAUAGAUGGACCCGCGCCGUAUUAGCUAGUUGGUGAGGUAACGGCUCACCAAGGCAACGAUACGUAGCCGACCUGAGAGGGUGAUCGGCCACACUGGAACUGAGACACGGUCCAGACUCCUACGGGAGGCAGCAGUAGGGAAUCUUCCGCAAUGGGCGAAAGCCUGACGGAGCAACGCCGCGUGAGUGAUGAAGGUCUUCGGAUCGUAAAACUCUGUUAUUAGGGAAGAACAAAUGCGUAAGUAACUGUGCGCGUCUUGACGGUACCUAAUCAGAAAGCCACGGCUAACUACGUG
rnacentral:rRNA from 1 species